AAAUCUAUGUAUAAAUUAAGUAAAAAUGCCAUAUAUUAUUGUUUUUUUUACCGUUUAAGUUUUAAAAUGCUUUAUCUCCAACAAUAUUUUUUUAACGUUUUUGCUUUGCUUCGUUACUUAAGACAUGUUUACAUGUAUUGUCAAUGUUUUAAUAAGUUAAAUUAAAUAAUUUGUCUAAAUAAUGGUUGAGCAAUAUUUCAGAUUUACAUAUUCAUCUGAAUAAGCUGAAUUUUACAAUUUAUCUAAAAAAAAUUUUUACUUUUAUAGCAUUUUCGCUUGGAAGGGCAGUAUAGGACACACAGGGUUAAUUUUUAUUUUCCAAGCUAAUUUUUGACCCUUAAAAUAUAUAAAUAUAUAUAUACAAGUUUUAUUCUACCAAAUUCAAAUUAUUAAAUAGAUAAUAAACCCCAAACUUAAAUAAAUAUUUUAUGUUAGUUUUGUAAAAGAAUAUCUAAUGAAUUUUUCAUUGCUUUUGUUCCUAUUAUUGUUUAAUAUAAUAUAUCUGU